rnacentral:rRNA from 1 species
CUACGGGAGGCACCAGUGGGGAAUAUUGGACAAUGGGGGAAACCCUGAUCCAGCAAUGCCGCGUGUGUGAAGAAGGCCUGCGGGUUGUAAAGCACUUUCGGUUGGGAGGACUGCUUCUAGCACUAAUAUUGUUGGAAGUUGACGUUACCUUCAGAAGAAGCACCGGCUAACUCCGUGCCAGCAGCCGCGGUAAUACGGAGGGUGCAAGCGUUAAUCGGAAUUACUGGGCGUAAAGCGCGCGUAGGCGGCUAGAUCAGUCGGGUGUGAAAGCCCCGGGCUUAACCUGGGAACUGCAUCCGAUACUGUCUAGCUCGAGUACAGGAGAGGAGAGUGGAAUUCCACAUGUAGCGGUGAAAUGCGUAGAUAUGUGGAGGAACACCAAUGGCGAAGGCAGCUCUCUGGCCUGAUACUGACGCUGAGACGCGAAAGCGUGGGGAGCAAACAGGAUUAGAUACCCGAGUAGUC